UACGAAGGGGGCUAGCGUUGUUCGGAAUUACUGGGCGUAAAGCGCGUGUAGGCGGGCCGUUAAGUCGGGGGUGAAAGCCCAGAGCUCAACUCUGGAACUGCCUUCGAUACUGGCGGCCUGGAGCAUGAUAGAGGCGAGUGGAAUUGCGAGUGUAGAGGUGAAAUUCGUAGAUAUUCGCAGGAACACCAGUGGCGAAGGCGCCUCCCUGGAUCAUUUCUGAAGCUGAGACGCGAAAGCGUGGGGAGCUAACAGG
rnacentral:rRNA from 1 species